CUGAUUCUCUCUGCCUGCCUCUCCUCAGACUGAUGAUGGCUGAAGCCCACCUGUUUGUAUCACAGGACGAGUUCACCUGCUUGAUUUGUCAGGAAACCCUGACUGACCCCAUCACCAUCCCCUGUGGUCACAAUUUCUGUCUGAAGUGCCUCACCGACUACUGGGAUCACAGCCAUGUGUGCAGCUGUCCUCAUUGCAGAGAGAACUUCACUGCGAGGCCUGCUCUGCGAAUAAACACUCUGCUGAAUAAAGUCAUCAAGAAAUUUAAGAGACCAAGACUCACUCCUCAUUUGUCUCAGAAUCAUACCAGUCUUGGAGAUAUGGAGUGUGACUUCUGUACUGGAAAGAAGUUCAGAGCGGUGAAGUCCUGUCUAACCUGCAUGGCCUCUUUCUGUCAGGCUCACCUGCAGCUUCACUAUGAAAUAGCAGCCUGGGAGGGACACAAGCUGGUUGAUCCUGAUAGAAAUCUGAAGAAGAAACUCUGUGUGAAACAUCAGAAAAGUCUGGAGGUGUUUUGUAAAACUGAUGAGACGUGUAUCUGCAUGAUGUGUGCGGUGACUGAACAUUAUGGUCAUGAAAAGGUCAACCUGGAGACGGAAAGAGAAGGAAAACAGAAACAGCUGGGGGUGACAUGGAGUGAAAUUAGGAGGAGACUUGAAGAGAAAGAGAAGAAACUUAAGGAGAUGAGGAGGACAGUGGAGAAGAUGAAGAUCUCUGUGGAACAAAAGAUGGAGGAACAUGACAAGAGCUUCACUGAUCUGAUUCGCUGCAUUAAGGAAGCCUAUAAGAAACUGACUGAGAAGAUCAGAGAACAAGAAAAGAGAAAUGUGGAGAAGGCUGAAGGAGUCAUGGAGCAUCUGGAGAGGGAGAUGAAGGAGCUGAAGAGGAGAGAAGAUGAGCUGAAGGAGCUUUCAGAGACCAAGGACCAUCUCCAGUUCCUGCAGACUUUCUCAUCUUGCUGUGUUCUUCCUGCUGAUGGAGACUCGCUCAGCUUCACUGUCACUGCUGACUUUUCUUCCGAGGUCCUGCAAAAUGAGCUGUCAAGUCUAAAAAAGAGUCUCCAGAAGAUCAGCCACUGGGACAUCAUGACAUGGACUCCACCAGGUUGUGAAGCUCCAAUCCACCCUACAGCAUACUGAACCUCAGAGCAGACAGGAGUUUUUACAAUGUAAAGUGAUGGAGGAAAACUGGAGGACACCGAGAGACUAAACAUCUGCUAUAUGAGUCUGCAGAAGGGAAGGAGCUCUGGUAGAAAAAGUGUGAGUUCAAGUCCGAUACCAGUCUGAAAUAUGCAGAUACCCCUGAGGGAUACACUGGGAGGCAAGAGAGUGCCGGCUCACUUGGGACAGUCUGUACAGACCACCAUUGAAUUACAGAACUGGCCAUCUGCAAUGGAGAACUGGAGACGGCAUUAUGGGGCUCAUUCUGUAUUGUCUUUAAUUAACUUGACGUCUCAGAGAUGAGUCCUUUGUGACAGCAGAGAGAGACUGAGCUUCACUGUUUAUUGGAUUGGUGAGGAGUCAACCUCUUUGAGCUGAACUAAGGUAAAGAGCCUACAGUACAUCCUCCUGAGUGGACAUAAUAUCGUGAGAAGGUCGCAGUGCUUGAUUCACAAAUGUUGGGUCUAUGCUCACCCACAAUUCAUCAGGCUUCAUCACAAUUACGAUCUUGCUGAUCCAAUCAGUCAGUUCAGACACCGAGGCAAUAUGGCCAUCAGCUUCAUAUUUGUCAUGCUGGACAACAUCCUUCAUAUUAACUGGCACAUGAUGUGGAGAACAUUGGACUGGCUGUACUAACCUGUCCAGGUUCAAAUGUAUGGUGUCAGGGAGGCAGUCGAUUGGUCCUGUGAAGACAUCAGCUUACAUAUCAAUCAGCAGAAGCUAGUCCUUUACACAGUGAAGAAGUUUCUCAAAGGGCUUCCUCAGGGUUGACCAAUCGCAGUCAUGCCUGAAAACAGCUCUAGCGGAAGCAGUGACGGUAGUGGCAGUGAGUGUGAACAUCCUGAAGGGCGUAAAGGGCAUGAAGCGGAAGCAAAUAAUGACCAAUGGAGAGAUGAACCCUGUCGUCGAAGAUCGACAUCCAGAUGAAGAAACUCCUGUCCAGAUGGAGGCACCUGAAGUAUCUGCUGGAAAAAUCCUCCCCGACAUCAGAAAUCGUCAGAGCAAAUCGCAGUUCGUUUAUAUCGACUCCACGCUGUGCCGCUCACUUUCAAGGCCAAGUGAGCUUCACCCCUGCGCCUUGUCGUCGAAGCAACGACGCCAACAAUGAAGAAUCUGGCCUGUUUCAGCUAUGCAGGCGGGGGUUUAAGGCUAGAACGUCUCCAUCGGCACAGGCAAGCAUCUCCACCCAGAACUGGUUUGACCUUCUCAGUGCCCCCAGUUUGCUUAUAACUCCGGGUGAUCUAUUUGGGAUUGGUGAUUCAAUCGUAAGAAACCUAAACAUUACAUGCCCUAAUCAGAAAUCUUUUGUCUCUGGUUUUCCCAGUGCUUGUGUCCGAGAUGUUAUGAGAUGUGUGCCAACAGUCUUCAAGAGGCACAAGAACAGUGCAGUGGGAUCCAUUGUGAUACACGCCGGGGUUAACGAUGUGAGACACCGACAGUCUGUGAUUCUCAAGGCGGACUUCACAGCACUAAUUAAAGCCAUGAAGGAGAAGACCCCAGGUGCAAGAAUUUGCUCGGGUCCCUUACCUCUCGUUAGAAGAUCAAAUGAGUAUUACAGUCGUUUGCUGGCGUUAAACAUAUGACUGAAAGGCUUCUGCGAGAGUCAAAGCAUCGAGUUUGUAGACCACUGGGACCUCUUUUGGGAGAGGCCACGUUUCUUCAAGAGGGAUGGUCUGCUGACUCAGUUUACUUUCCAGGGGAAAGCGGCUGUCUUGGAACAGAAGCUUGUUGAUGUUGCAUCCUCCUUUUCUUUUUCCAUCGCUUUUUCUAGUAAGAUGCGACAACGAAGUUCUUCUGCAAGGUGUGCCAUGAACACUCUUCUUUUCUCAUUGGACCCCAUACAUGCCUUGUACAGUACAUGUCCGUUGA